rnacentral:lncRNA from 1 species
GGGCUAAGCAACUGACAGCACAGAGCUCUCUUCCGUGGCCUCCAGCUUAGCUUAGCUCUUAAAAACACAUCUGGAGAGAUCACUCUGCUGUAAAUAACAAAAGGAGUGACUGAUGUACGUGACUAUGGCCAAAACCAAUUAAACAUUACAGGUAAAUAUUUGUUCAUUGGGAUCACUGGGAGGUGACAUAUUAAUAGUAGAGCAAGGGAACACAUCACCAAGAGGCCAAGAUUAUUAAUUGAACUGAACGAUGGAAACCUUUUGAAGGACACAAUCAGGACUUGCCAACUGAGGGUUGAUUGCUGCAGCAGGACACCUCCCCUAGGGUGUCAUUGUAGUGUUGUGUCCAUGCCUCAAAAUAUAACAAACACUGUGGUGCUGGGCUUUUUUUCUGACUGGUUAGACUCAGAUUUCAGUAUAAAAAUUAAAGCAUGCCUGCAAACCACAGCAGUUAUGGUUUUAUUUACACACACAUUCAGGCUGAGCGUAAGGUGGAGUUGCUCAUAGUAUUAACACCAAACAGUUCUUAUAGAGUUGGAAGGGACUGAAGGGUCAUCUCGUUCAACCCCCUGCAAUGCAGGAAUCAUAGCUAAAGAAUCCCUGACAGUGGACCAGACAACCUCUUGUUCCUACAUUAGGUCUCUAGGGACCCUCCAAAAACAUCACUCUGGGUUCAGCGCAGAGAAGAAGUCAAGCCUCGUUCUCUCAACUCCAGCUCCAGGCAGAAGUAGCCCAACUCUGACCCAUUGUUCACUUUCCAGUCAGAAUGACUCUACUACCAGCUAGGGGAAGGGAAAGGUCUAUCCCUUCUUCUGGAAGUCUGGGGGCAGGCAGAGAGAGAGAGAGAGAGACAUUUCUAGAGCAACACACCUUGACUUUUCAAUCAGCUGUUAUUAGACAUGCAAAGAGAUACUUAGACCUGGUUAGAACCAUUAACUCAAUUAAGAGAUUAGCUUGAGUAUUAAACAGUUCCUUCUUCUACAGAAUCCCACCAUACAGAAGUAAAGCCACAGGCCUGGAGGGGACCCAAAAACUAACCUCCCAAUCCUAUAUCAGGAAUUAAUAGGGCUGCUGUGAGGAUAAAAUGGGGAGACCAAAUCAUGUACACAGGACUGGGCUCAGCGGACAAGAGGCAAAAUAAGAAUAUAAUUAAUAACAGAACCUUUGUGAGAUUUCUUCCUCGGCCUGGCCUGCCUGCCUUUCACUCCCCUCAUUGUGGUUACUCAGGCUGUAAGCAUUCUGUGAUGGUUUGUCCAUAAGAACGUGAGGGCUCCUCCCAUCCAGUUCAGCCUUUUGUUCUCAAAGUGGCCAACCAGAUGCCUGUGGGAAGUCCGUAAGCAGGACAUGAGCACAAUAGUACUCUCCCAACUUGUGCUCCCAACAAACUAGUAUUCAGAGGCAUUGCACCUCUGACACUGGUACCUUCAUCAUGGUUAGUGGUCAUUGAUAGUCUUCUCCUCCAUGAAUUUGUCUCAUCACCUUUUAAAGCCAUCCAGUUUGGUGGUCACCACUACCUCUUGUGGUAGCAAAUUUAACUUUGUUAAUUUUGAUGGUGACUAGUGCCCAUUGGGAUUGGGAGAGUGGAAAGCAGAGGGACCAACCAGGGGUGUAGGAAGGGGGCAGUGGGGGUGAAUCGCCCCGGGUGCCCUCACUGAGGGGGGUGACAUUCGGUGCGCCGCGCGCCCAUGACUCCCAAGCCUACCCUGAGCCGUUGGGGUAAGGGGAAGGAGCUGCGCCACUUUGCCAGCGGCAUUCUCCCCCUUCCUCCUUUAUUUUGACUGCUUGGGGGAGGCUUGGGAGUCGCAGACUGGCAGCUCAUCGAAAGUCUGCCAUGGGGGCUCACUCCGCCCCCGUGGGUGGCUCGCUUUGCCCCUGGCUGCAGGGCGUAUGCACCACUCUGGACACCCGAGCGGCUAUCCUGCGCCUGGGAGGGCACCCUCUGCGCCACGCCCCCCUCGGGAGUGCUCCCGCCCUGGGCAGCGUGGGCAUAUGCUCCACCGCUGGGGCCAAUAGCGGGUGCAGCCAGAGCGAAUGUUAGGCUGAGCCAACUAUUUCUAGUUUUGUCCCUAUUCUCCCCCAUACCAAGUUAUACAAGAGUAACUCUGAAACUAAGGAUUUCUUUCUUUUCAACCCAACAUUUAUAAUUAUUUGCAGGAAACACAAAUGUUAGGGAAUUCUCUUUUUUCAAGAAGAGGAUUUUAUAUUCAUGAAGCUCACAUUGCCAUCACCUGGCCAGUAAAAUUUAUUUUCUGCCUUAAACUUAACAAUAACUAAGUUGCCAAUUGGCACUAGUACUUCAGUGGCUGAUUCUACUUAUGCACUUUAUUUCUGGAUAAUCGCAUUUCCCACAGUGAUAUCAUCCCCUGUGUUGCUUUAUUUUAAAAUAUGUGAAAAAAUUCAUUUGCACUUAUGUUCAAGACUGCCUUCAAGCUUUUUACAGGUUUGUACUUUGGUUACUGAGGUCAAUUUUUGUAUCUCUAGAUAAGCCCACCUAUUCAGCCUACUAGGGAGAGCCAAUCAUGGUGGUCAUGCCUCCUUGAUACAUCUGAGCAGAAGCUACUAUAUGUUUCUACAUGUAUAACAUCAUCCUUGUUUAUAAAACCCAAUAAAAAAAGAAAGCGGUUAGAGUUCUAGUGAAAUAUCAAUUCUAUAUUUUUCUUAACAACACCC